rnacentral:lncRNA from 10 species
GGACAUAUUCAGAGAAGCGACAUGGAAACCCGAGUUGGAAACAGUCAGCUGGGGAGGAGAGGGAGCAACUUAUUUGCUGAAUCUUUCCUGCUUUGUUUCUGCCUUUGGUCAAAGUCUUACCCUCAGGACAUCCAUAUCCCAGAAGGUUUUUUUGUUUGUUUGUUUAACCUGGCCAAUUCUCUAGGAAGCAUCCAGGGAAACCCAAGCUUUAUUGGCCAUAAGCCAGACACUGUGUAGGCAUAGGGGUCUCUUUCUGUCAGUUGGCACCAAGCAAAGGGUGCUUCAGUCUGCAGUGUUGGUAUCAGCAGUGGCUAUCAGAACUCUACAACUCUCGGAAUAGCUUCUGCUACAGCUGAUCUGGCCAAGAAACCAGGCAAGUGGCCAAGGCCUGAAGAGGCAUGGCUGAAUUGAUCUAGAGUGGCAGAGCAAGUCACCUUGGAAGAUAACUUUUUUGUUCAGAGAAGAAUCACUGGAAUGGUCCUUUUAAGGGCUGUUCCUGACUUCACAGCU